rnacentral:rRNA from 1 species
CCUACGGGUGGCUGCAGUGGGGAAUAUUGGACAAUGGGCGAAAGCCUGAUCCAGCCAUGCCGCGUGUGUGAAGAAGGCCUUCGGGUUGUAAAGCACUUUCAGUGGGGAAGAAAGCCUUGAGGCUAAUACCCUCGAGGAAGGACAUCACCCACAGAAGAAGCACCGGCUAACUCCGUGCCAGCAGCCGCGGUAAUACGGAGGGUGCGAGCGUUAAUCGGAAUUACUGGGCGUAAAGCGCGCGUAGGCGGUCUGAUAAGCCGGUUGUGAAAGCCCCGGGCUCAACCUGGGAACGGCAUCCGGACCUGUCAGGCUAGAGUGCAGGAGAGGAAGGUAGAAUUCCCGGUGUAGCGGUGAAAUGCGUAGAGAUCGGGAGGAAUACCAGUGGCGAAGGCGGCCUUCUGGACUGACACUGACGCUGAGGUGCGAAAGCGUGGGUAGCAAACAGGAUUAGAUACCCCGGUAGUC